rnacentral:tRNA from 2 species
GCGGGGGUCGCCCAGCCUGGCCAACGGCGCGGGGCUUAAGAUCCUGUCAUUUAGAUGUUCGUGGGUUCGAAUCCCACCCCCCGCA